rnacentral:lncRNA from 1 species
UUUAAAUAUAAUUGAGUUUUGAAUUAGAUUUUAAGCACUCAUAUUAUGCACACUUCUUUUAAUAUUUUAUUUAUUCUUAAUUUUAUUUAUUCUAUUUUAUUCUUUAUUUUUUAAAUUAUUUUAUUUGAGAUUUUAUUUACUUUUUAUUCUUAUUAUGAAUAUUUAGUUAAGAUUUGACUUUUAUUCUUUAUAUUAAAACUCAUUAAUUAUUUUUGCAC